UAAUUUUUUUGCUCCAAGGAAGAGUUUUACUGUAGCAGAUUGAAUUUUGUUACUAGUACAAACUUUUUACAGUUUGGAUUCAAUUAUAAGAAACAAAACUUGGAGAACUGACAUUUGUUUGGCUAUUUCCCAGACUGUUGGUUUGACAGUUUUUUUUAAGUCAUGGUCACGGAAGUGUUUGUCCUAUAUUUCUUAUUUUGGAAAGGAAGCCCAUCUCAUGGUAUAUAAAACUCAGCAUGGAAAAGAGGCUGAGCUGUCAAGAGCAACCAGACAUUUACUGGGCAAAGAAGAAACAGUGUUGAAGAAAGAAAUGCCAGAAGUGAAGAAGGGAAGAGGAGAGGAGCACUAAAGAAAAAACUAAUUCAUGAAUUUUCAUGUUUAUGAGCUCAUUCUGGAAAACAGGGCUACAAAGAACACCUCCCUCAACUGCAAGUGCAACAUGCAACUGUGUGAAAUCCCUUGUGUGACUGAAGCACCUCCAGCACACAAAGCUCUUGCAAAUACCCUGCAGAGAGGCAGCUCAGUGCACAAGAAUAUCUAUUCUCCUACCUGAACAGGCUCUCAGGUGCUGGAAAGCACGAAGCUGAAACACCUGCAUGCUUAGCAGGAAUUGUCUGUAUGACUGUAUGUAUACCUUACAUGAGUAUAAAGGUGUUCUUCAGCCAUUUCUAGGAUGACUACAUUGUAAAAUGUUUGCAUUUGAGUAGCUAUCAUUUAAUCUUUAGGAUCAAAAGAAGGGGCAGAAUUUCAUUGCCUGAACAGCCAUGAGAAUUUUGCAGCCCAGUGAAGAGUUCACCACAUACCUUCUCCUUCACUGGCCUCUGCGUGCGGUGGCAGCUGGUCUGUCAGCUCCUCUGACUAUUGUUUGUUUGUUCAGUCCUUUGGGAUCCAUCUUUUAUGUCAGGCUACUCUUAUCUACAGGAACAUCAGAAACAUCAAUUCCCCCACCAUGAGGAUCCAGAAAACAGAAAGGUAAAGGAAGCUAUACUUUACAUCCCAUCAUGAAUUUAAGCACUCUAGUGUAUUAUCAGGCAGGCAAAUUAAUUUCAGCUGUAAUCACAGAGCCAGAUUACAUAAUUGUUUUCAAAAUUUCCCAAUAUAAGGAAGUUUUAGCAAUGAAAAAUAGCAAAAUAACAUUUGGAACUGGUCUGGGAAGAUAGGACCAAGGAAUGUCUGAGACAGGAGACACGUUAGAGCCUGUAAGAAUCAUGCAAAGGGCUGUCAGAGUCAGAGUAGCAAACACCCUUUGGACUCCUGAAUCUAGGAGCUAAAAUAGCAGUACACAAACCAGUUGCUUUGAUGGUCAGUGCUUUAUUGCUUUCUUUUAUUUAUUCUUUGUUUCCAAAGCUUAUACUGAAAUUAAAUGCUUCAGAAAC
rnacentral:lncRNA from 1 species